rnacentral:rRNA from 1 species
AAAUUGAAGAGUUUGAUCAUGGCUCAGAUUGAACGCUGGCGGCAGGCCUAACACAUGCAAGUCGAACGGUAGCACAGAGAGCUUGCUCUCGGGUGACGAGUGGCGGACGGGUGAGUAAUGUCUGGGAAACUGCCUGAUGGAGGGGGAUAACUACUGGAAACGGUGGCUAAUACCGCAUAACGUCGCAAGACCAAAGAGGGGGACCUUCGGGCCUCUUGCCAUCAGAUGUGCCCAGAUGGGAUUAGCUUG